GUGGGGAAUAUUGCACAAUGGGCGCAAGCCUGAUGCAGCCAUGCUGCGUGUGUGAAGAAGGCCUUCGGGUUGUAAAGCACUUUCAGCGGGGAGGAAGGCGGUGAGGUUAAUAACCUCACCGAUUGACGUUACCCGCAGAAGAAGCACCGGCUAACUCCGUGCCAGCAGCCGCGGUAAUACGGAGGGUGCAAGCGUUAAUCGGAAUUACUGGGCGUAAAGCGCACGCAGGCGGUCUGUCAAGUCGGAUGUGAAAUCCCCGGGCUCAACCUGGGAACUGCAUUCGAAACUGGCAGGCUAGAGUCUUGUAGAGGGGGGUAGAAUUCCAGGUGUAGCGGUGAAAUGCGUAGAGAUCUGGAGGAAUACCGGUGGCGAAGGCGGCCCCCUGGACAAAGACUGACGCUCAGGUGCGAAAGCGUGGGGAGCAAACAGGAUUAGAAACCCUUGUAGUCC
rnacentral:rRNA from 1 species